rnacentral:rRNA from 1 species
UACAGAGGUCUCAAGCGUUGUUCGGAUUCAUUGGGCGUAAAGGGUGCGUAGGUGGUUAGGUAAGUCGGAUGUGAAAUCCCGGGGCUCAACCUCGGAACUGCAUUCGAUACUGCUUGACUAGAGUACUGGAGAGGAGAUUGGAAUUUACGGUGUAGCAGUGAAAUGCGUAGAUAUCGUAAGGAAGACCAGCGGCGAAGGCGG